rnacentral:rRNA from 1 species
GGGAUAAGCCCAGCACCGAAGCCUGUAGCCAUUUGGUUACUAGGCAAUGUAUGUGGUGUUUAGGUCGUUCCGUGGAUAUUCUGCUCCACCCUAAGUCCAUCAAUCAAUGAGUACGGUAUUAUGGACAUGGCCCAUAGAGGGUGAAAGGCCCGUGGGUGGGGUGGAGAUUCGGUAGGACAGAAUAUUCUUGGGUAGACCUUGGAGUCGGGCGGGUUGUUUGUGAAUGCAGCCCAAAGUGGGUGGUAAACUCCAUCCAAGGCUAGCUAAAUACUUGCACGAGUCCGAUAGCGAACAAGUACCGUGAGGAAAGUUGAAAGAAAAGUACUUUGAAGAGAGAGUAAACAGUGCGUGAAACCGCUCAGAGGUAAACAAACGGGUGGAGUUGAACUGCAAGCUCUGGGAAUUCAACUGGUGAGUGUGGUUUGUUUUAGCUUGGUAAAUUGGUGGACAUUGGGGGGGUGCGCGAUGCACUUAUCAAGUGUUGUGCGCCGCAGGCAGUGUCAUAUCCGACCAACUCGCAUGUGCACUUUCUCAGAGUGUUCACCAACCACGACCGGCGCCGCUGUCUGGCCUCUAUAGUUAAACCGGUUUUGCAUAGUCAGUCCUUGUGGCUUUGCUUAGUCGGGACGGCAGGUAGCUCGUUGACUUGCUUGUUUGUGGUUCGCUGCAAGCGUGGUUUUCGAGUGUAAUCAGCUGACUGUAGUUGUUUGUUCUGUGCAGUGUGUCGGAGACGGCGGCUUGAGGUGUGUGCAUGCGUAGUUAGUUGUUUUGCUGACUGGUUCGAGUUUGGUUAUUUGUUGCCUGUUCAUGCAGGCAGGUCUGGUAGUAGCUCGAAUUUGUUCGGCUGGCGACUGCGUGUGUGGCAUUUAUUU